GGGGGGGGGGGGGGGGGGGGGGGGGGGGGGGGGGGGGGGGGGGGGGGGGGGGGGGGGGGGGGGGGGGGGGGGGGGGGGGGGGGGGGGGGGGGGGUGUGGUUCUUUUUUGUUUUUAUUUGUUUUUUGUUUUUGUUUCUUGGUUUUCUUAUUUUGAUUUAUUUUGUUUUUUGAGUUUUUUGCAUGUUUGGGGGUUUGUUUUGUUUUGUUUUUUGGGGGGGUUUUGGGGUGGUUUUUUUGAUGUUUGUUUUUGUGUUUUGUUUUGGUUUUGUUUGUGUUUGUUUUUGUUUCUUGGGGUUUUUAUUUAGGUUUUUUUUUGUUGUUUUUGGGUUUUUUGCAUGUUUGGGGAUUUUUUGGUUUUGUUUUUUGGGUUUGUUUUUUUUUUUUUAUAUGUUUGUUUUGUUUUUGUGUUGUGUUUUGUUUUUGUUUGUUUUUGUUUCGUUUCUUGUUACAGAUGUGCACAUUGCAGCACGGGCAGCUGCUGGGCAGUCCCAGAGGGGCAGGGUGCACACAGGGACCCUCUGCUCGGGGCCACUGCAGGGCUGUCACUGUCACUGUCACUGGCACUGUCACUGGCACUGUCACUGUCACUGUCACUGUCACUGUCACUGUCACUGUCACUGUCACUGUCACUGUCACUGUCACUGUCACUGUCACUGUCACUGUCACUGUCACUGUCACUGUCACUGUCACUGUCACUGUCACUGUCACUGUCACUGUCACUGUCACUGUCACUGUCACUGUCACUGUCACUGUCACUGUCACUGUCACUGUCACUGUCACUGUCACUGUCACUGUCACUGGCACUGUCACUGGCACUGGCACUGGCACUGUCACUGUCACUGUCACCGCCCCCCGGUCAAUGCCAGAGCAGCUCUGGCUGCUGAGUCACUCCUUUCUGGGCAAACACCAGGGCAAAGAGACCUGACAUUUCCUGUGCUAAUAAGAUCCCAGCUACAGGCUGACCUUUUC
rnacentral:lncRNA from 12 species